GGGCGGUUGGCGCAGUCUGGUAAGCGCGUUGCGUUGACAUCGCAAAGGUCACUGGUUCGAAUCCAGUACCGCCCA
rnacentral:tRNA from 1 species